UGGGGAAUUUUGGACAAUGGGGGCAACCCUGAUCCAGCCAUCCCGCGUGUGCGAUGAAGGCCUUCGGGUUGUAAAGCACUUUUGGCAGGGAAGAAACAGCCUGGGCUAAUAUCCCGGGCGACUGACGGUACCUCUUGAAUAGCACCGGCUAACUCCGUGCCAGCAGCCGCGGUAAUACGGAGGGUGCAAGCGUUAUCCGGAAUCACUGGGCGUAAAGGGCGCGUAGGCGGUCUGUUAAGUCCGAUGUUAAAUCCCGGGGCUCAACCCCGGAUAAGCGUGGGAGACUGGCAGGCUAGACGGUUGGAGAGGCGAGGGGAAUUACCAGUGUAGCGGUGGAAUGCGUAGAUACUGGUAGGAACACCCAUUGCGAAGGCAGCUCGGUGGACCACACGUGACGCUGAGGCGCGAAAGUGUGGGGA
rnacentral:rRNA from 1 species